GAUGAAGAACGCAGUGAAAUGCGAUAAGUAAUGUGAAUUGCAGAAUUCAGUGAAUCAUCGAAUCUUUGAACGCACCUUGCACCCUUUGGCAUUCUGAAGGGUAUGCUCGUUUGAGUGUCAUUGUACUCUCACACUCCCGAUCUUUGCAUUGGGAGCAGUGGACUUGGGUUUGCUGCUUCACCGUCGCUUACCUCAAAUAGGUUAGUGCAACUCUUGGUUGGACAUAGUACGGCGUGAUAAGUGUUCUUCGCCGGUGCCUCGCAAAGAGGGUGGCCGAUCGGGAUGUUGUGCUCCAAACCGUCUUCGGACAAUCUCUGACGACUUGACCUCAAAUCGAGUAAGACUACCCGCUGAACUUAAGCAUAUCAAUAAGCGGAGA
rnacentral:misc_RNA from 1 species